rnacentral:lncRNA from 1 species
AAGAACUUGCUUCCUUCUUCUAGCCAGAGAACCAUGUGUUGGGCCAUGGUGGAAAGCUCUGGGAGUGAGCUUCUGCCCCACCAGGGGGAAGAUGAGGCUUCAGGCUUGACCAACUCUGACUGGCUGGCUGCCGAGACACUGCUACUCAAUGGCCCUUACCAAAUGGCCUCAUUUGAUCAUCACGUGAUCUCCAGAAGCUGGACUUGAUUAUUCUUGCCAAACAAAAUGCUGAAACCAACAAUCUGAAAGGUAGUUCUUGCUAAGUAAGGGAGAGCUGUGAUUGUAGAGUGUGGUCACCCUGAACAGAGCAGACUGCUCGUGGAGCUCCAAGACUGGCAGACUUGGGAGGGGGAGCAUUUAGAGACUGGA